CCUUGAUACAAACAGUUGUGACUAGGACCAGAGGACAACAACUUGAAAUUAUAUAUCCUAAGUGUAAUAAGCAGAAUGAUUCCUGGGCAUGUGGCUACUACAUCAUGUCAUGGAUGAAGGCAAUCAUCCGAGCAGAAAUCAGAGGGGAAUGGACUGAGGUA